rnacentral:rRNA from 1 species
GUGGGGAAUAUUGGACAAUGGGCGCAAGCCUGAUCCAGCAAUGCCGCGUGGGUGAAGAAGGUCUUCGGAUCGUAAAGCCCUUUCGACAGGGACGAUGAUGACGGUACCUGUAGAAGAAGCCCCGGCUAACUUCGUGCCAGCAGCCGCGGUAAUACGAAGGGGGCUAGCGUUACUCGGAAUUACUGGGCGUAAAGGGCGCGUAGGCGGCUCUGUUAGUCAGGCGUGAAAUUCCUGGGCUUAACCUGGGGACUGCGCUUGAUACUGCAGGGCUUGAGGCCGAGAGAGGGUGGUGGAAUUCCCAGUGUAGAGGGGAAAUUCGUAGAUAUUGGGAAGAACACCGGUGGCGAAGGCGACCACCUGGCUCGGUUCUGACGCUGAGGCGCGACAGCGUGGGGAGCAAACAGGAUUAGAAACCCGUGUAGUCC